CAGGAAGCCAAAUGUGAGAGUGCUGUUGUAACAGCACAAUGGAAUAACCAGAAGGAAUAGAAACAGAUGUAUUAAUACAGGGAGAACAGCAGCCGAUUUGGAUUCCAGAGAGAUUAACUAAAACAAUUUCUACAGAUCGAAAAGAAGAUGAUUUGACUCAAAUCCAUAACAGCUGAUAUCCAGAACUCCAGCUUGGCCAUUCUUACAUCUGCGACAGUGAUUAACCAGGAUGCUUUUUUCAAUAGCUAUUUUAUUAUUGCAUUUUUCUACAUCAUAAGGUUCUAUUUUUAUUUUUUGAGCUCAUACAAACCUAGGUUAAUGUUUUUCUGAUCAGUUUUAUUUUUUGACUGUGGAGUUUUUAAACAUUGCAAUGGAGAUUUCACCUAGGUAAAGCUACAAGGCCUUUACUAUUUUCUUAUGUGUUGUACGUUUGUGUACACUCUUGUGUUUUGUGUUGUAUGUCUGUAUGUGCGUAUGUCCAUAUUUCUUAUAUGAGGAGCGCUCAUGAAAAAAUGGAUCCGAAUUAUUAUUAUUAUUUUUUUUAUUCACGUGAUUUAAAUGGUUUAAUUUAAAUUAGGUAAACAGCUGUUAAGGAUUGUUUUUAAAGGUGGUUAACAGAUCUGUUUGUUUACUAAUUUAAAUUAGGUAAACAGCUGUUAAGGAUUGUUUUUAAAGUAGGUUAACAGAUCUGUUUGUUUACUUUCACCUUUCCUUUUCAUUAUAUUCAAUAAUUCUUUUCAGGAUGAUGUCUCUUUAGCAUCAUUGCCAGAAUUCCUAUCUUCAUCCCAGUGCCGGUGAAGACAGCUUCUAUGAUAGCUAUCACAGUAAGCUGUAUAAACUGAUGCAUCAAUGAAUAUAACUCAACAAGUAAUGCUCAAUCAAGGAGUCAACUUACUUUGGGAGGAAACGGAUUUUGGGAGGAAAUGGACAUAUUGAUAGAUUCCUCCACUUUGAACUGCUUGCAAAACUUGCCUGAACUAUGUAACUAUCGUUUGGUGCAGCGAAUUGUGGUAAUGCUGGCAUAUCUUUGCUGAUGGUGUCACCAGUGAUGCAAUUUUUAUUUCCUUGCCAGCGCACCCCAUGUUAAUUGUGGUAGUGCUGACAUAUCUUUGCUGAUGGUGUCACUAGUGAUGCAAUUUUUCCCAAGGAGCCGUCAAUUGUCUUGGUGUCGUGGCAUUUCUGUAUCCUCCUCCAUUCUGCUAGUGAUGGUCUAAAAUUUGGGGGCCAAUGGCUAUAUGCUGGACCGGUAGUCAGUGACGGGUAUGAUCCAAUUGCAGUGGUAUCAACCUAAGACAGGAGGCUGACACCUAAAGGUCAGUUUUCCAAUGACGGGUAAGAACCAUAUGUUGAAUUGGACAACCUACCAGGCACGGUCCUUAAGCCACAUUAACCUCACUCCCCCACUGGCACCAAGGCCAAAUUUGGGGGCCAACAGAGGUGAGGCAAAGAACCUCACCCCCCCACUAGUGCAUAGACCUAUCCACAAGUAUGGCUGUAUGCUGGACCGGUAGUCAGUGACGGGUAUGAUUCAAUUGCAGUGGUAUCAACCUAAGACAGGAGGCUGAUGCCUAAAGGUCAGUUUUCCGAUGACGGGUAAGAACCAUAUGUUGAAUUGGACAACCUACCAGGCACAGUCUUUAAGCCACAUUGCUUGUUGUUUAAUUAAUCAGAAGGGGGGAGAUGCUGGGAGCCAUUAGCCAAGUAGGUAUGACAAUUUCCUUGCCAGUGUACCCCAUGUUGCUGACAUUUUGCAGUGACAUUGAAUGUAGGUGACCUUGCUCAAGGACCAGGGCGGAUUAGGGUGUUCCCGGUUUAAGAUAAUCGGGUUUAGGGCGUUCCCAGUUUAGGUUCCAGGUUUAAGGUUUAAGAUUAUUCCUGCUGGGAAUAGAGCGUAUCCUGCUGCCUGAGUUCCCCUUGAGUUCUCACGGGAUUCAGACAGUAUUUUUUGGGAGACAGAAGCCCAGUGGAUGUGGAUUUGGGCAGAGAACGUGGAUUUCCCCAGAACGUGAUUGUAGACGGCUGGUGUGAGAUCGGGAAUAAAGAGUUGCUGUUUGAAUCUACAAGCUGUGUGGUGGCUCAUAAUUGUGUGCCCAGCCAGACUGCAGCAUUUGUGCUCAGCCAGACUGCGGCAGAAAACAGUAGAGGAAUGGGAAAUCCUACCAGCAUAUUCAAGGGAUAUUAUAGCAUUAACUAUAUAUUGACUGUCAGAAACUAAAUUAAAUACAGAAUCUUUAAACAUCACAAAAGCUUGUAAUACUGCAUUAAGCUCUACCUUUUGAGCUGAUUGUUUCAGUAGUAAAAAUGUAAAAGCUUGAGCAGAGGUAACUACUGCUGCUGUACCAUUAUAUGACCCAUCAGUAAAUAUUAUUGGAGCAUUCA